UAUAUCAACAAAAGGCGAACAUACCUAGCUGGUUUUAAAAUGCAUUUAACUGAAAUCGUGGUUGAAGAAUUGAAUUAGUAAAAAGAAAAUUGGACAGAAUGUUGUACGAAAAGACGUCCCGACAGGUGCAAAUACAGAGACGGACAGUGGCAGUGAGAGCAGCUCGAGCGACGAACGGAAGCCUGAGACCAGGAGGAAGUUUCGGACAGAGUGGCUGGCCACAUUUUCUUAGCUUAGGAACAAAAAUGGCGAGUGCUAUUGUAUCACCUGCGAUACUAAUUUGGUAAGCCACUACAGUCACCUCAAA